CCGGCGCACGGGUGAGUAACACGUAUGCAACCUGGCCGUCACAGGUGGAUAACCGGAAGAAAUUCCGACUAAUACAGCAUAACACUCCUGAGGGACAUCCCUUGGGAGUCAAAGGAGGCAACUCCGGUGACGGAUGGGCAUGCGGCGCAUUAGGUAGUUGGUAGGGUAACGGCCUACCAAGCCGACGAUGCGUAGGGGUUCUGAGAGGAAGGUCCCCCACACUGGUACUGAGACACGGACCAGACUCCUACGGAAGGCAGCAG
rnacentral:rRNA from 1 species